rnacentral:rRNA from 1 species
GACGUAGGGCGCGAGCGUUUGUCCGGAUUUAUUGGGCGUAAAGAGCUCGUAGGCGGCUUGUUGCGUCGACCGUGAAAACCCGGGGCUCAACUUCGGGCUUGCGGUCGAUACGGGCGGGCUAGAGUUCGGUAGGGGAGACUGGAAUUCCUGGUGUAGCGGUGAAAUGCGCAGAUAUCAGGAGGAACACCGGUGGCGAAGGCGGUUCUCUGGGCAUUACCUGACGCUGAGGAGCGAAAGUGUGGGGAGCGAACAGG